UGUCUGAUUCACCUUAACCUAGGAUGACCUACUAUAGCACGUCCAUGGCCGACUAAUCCUAAAUCACCCAAGGUCAACGUGCUCUCCACGAUCUCCAGACCUUGGCUUGGAACGAGCUAAAAUGGACGACUAAUCCCAAAUCACCCAAGGUCAACGUGCUCUCCACGAUCUCUAGACCUCGGCUUCGAACGAUCUAUUUUAGCUUGUCCGUAGUCGAGCUAAGCUCCUUAUCAC
rnacentral:lncRNA from 1 species